UCACUACCAUGAUGAUCUUCCAGCGUUUGCAGUUUGCACCGGAAGGGUUUUCCUCCUUACUGGGUAAGCCUUCUUUGGAUGUCUGCGUGA
rnacentral:snoRNA from 1 species